UCCAGACUCCUACGGGAGGCAGCAGUGGGGAAUAUUGGGCAAUGGGGGAAACCCUGACCCAGCGACGCCGCGUGAGGGAAGAAGGUUUUCGGAUUGUAAACCUCUGUCCUUGGUGACGAUAAUGACGGUAGCCAAGGAGGAAGCCACGGCUAACUACGUGCCAGCAGCCGCGGUAAUACGUAGGUGGCGAGCGUUGUCCGGAAUUACUGGGUGUAAAGGGAGCGUAGACGGCCAGACAAGUCUGAAGUGAAAAUCCAGCGCUUAACGUUGGAAGUGCUUUGGAAACUGCCGGGCUAGAGUGCAGGAGGGGCAGGCGGAAUUCCUAGUGUAGCGGUGAAAUGCGUAGAUAUUAGGAGGAACACCAGUGGCGAAGGCGGCCUGCUGGACUGCAACUGACGUUGAGGCUCGAAGGCGUGGGGAGCAAACAGGAUUAGAUACCCCAGUAU
rnacentral:rRNA from 1 species